CUGUAAUGAUGAUUGAAACUUAUCACCAUCUUUCGGCUGAUACAUAAUGAUGGAUUAGUUUCUAUUCUGACUG